ensembl:lncRNA
GGGGAGACAAUGAGACGGAUGGAUGUGUAUUGUCCUUGUCUCGUGGAGAAGAGGAACAUCUGGAUGUGGACAUAGUGCACGCCGCCCUGCGGGAAUUCCAGCAGGAACUCAGGGACACACAAAGAGAGAGGGUAAAAUUGUUAUUGUGUUAUUCCCUCAGGAGGAAGCCAAGACUCAGGUGGUUGUUCUGAGUCAGCAGGUGACGGACCUACUAGACAGCCAGGAUAAGUCGGCCACUCAGCUGCUUCAACUACAGAGGUCCCUGAAGCAAUCAGAGCAAGGGAAAAGAGAGAUGGCAGAGCGGUUGCAAAAGGCCCAUGCAUCGCUUUCCUUGCAAGAA